AACGCACAUUGCGCCUCUCGGUAUUCCGGGAGGCACGCCUGUUCGAGCGCCAUUACAAACUCCAAGCGUGGCUUGAUGUUGGGCGAUGUCUUUUUGCGAGAGCGGAGACACGCCUGGAACGCGUUGGCGCCGCCGCCGGACCACGAGCGUAGCAAGACGAGAGUCAAUCGCAUCGAUUUGGUUUCCGACGGUGGUCCGCCUCUGGACUGGAUCUUUGAUCCAUUCCUACAACUUCUCAAGUUUGGCCUCGGAUCAGGCGGGGAUACCCGCUGAACUUAA
rnacentral:misc_RNA from 1 species